rnacentral:rRNA from 1 species
GACGAACGCUGGCGGCGUGCUUAACACAUGCAAGUCGAACGCUGAAGCUCAGCUUUUGUUGGGUGGAUGAGUGGCGAACGGGUGAGUAACACGUGAGUAACCUGCCUCCUUCUUUGGGAUAACGCCCGGAAACGGGUGCUAAUACUGGAUAUUCACUGGUCUUCGCAUGGGGGUUGGUGGAAAGGGUUUUUCUGGUGGGGGAUGGGCUCGCGGCCUAUCGGCUUGUUGGUGGGGUGAUGGCCUACCAAGGCUUUGACGGGUAGCCGGCCUGGGAGGGUGACCGGUCACAUUGGGGCUGAGGUCCGGCCUAGACUGCGACGGGGGGCAGCAGUGGGGAGUAUUGCGCAAUGGGCGCUGGCGUGAUGCAGCGGCGCCGCGGGAGGGGUCGAGGCCUUUGGGUUGUGAACCUCUUUGGCACAUAGUCCAGCCGCGACUAUGGUUGUGGUGACGGUAGUUGGAAAAGAAGCGCCGGCUAACUACGUG